AUGAACGCUGGCGGCGUGCCUAAUACAUGCCAGUCGAGCGAACAGACGAGGAGCUUGCUCCUCUGACGUUAGCGGCGGACGGGUGAGUAACACGUGGAUAACCUACCUAUAAGACUGGGAUAACUUCGGGAAACCGGAGCUAAUACCGGAUAAUAUAUUGAACCGCAUGGUUCAAUAGUGAAAGACGGUUUUGCUGUCACUUAUAGAUGGAUCCGCGCCGCAUUAGCUAGUUGGUAAGGUAACGGCUUACCAAGGCGACGAUGCGUAGCCGACCUGAGAGGGUGAUCGGCCACACGGGAACUGAGACACGGUCCAGACUCCUACGGGAGGCAGCAGUAGGGAAUCUUCCGCAAUGGGCGAAAGCCUGACGGAGCAACGCCGCGUGAGUGAUGAAGGUCUUCGGAUCGUAAAACUCUGUUAUUAGGGAAGAACAAAUGUGUAAGUAACUAUGCACGUCUUGACGGUACCUAAUCAGAAAGCCACGGCUAACUACGUG
rnacentral:rRNA from 1 species